CUCACUCUCGUCUUCCUCAUCAUGCCGUCUCCCGUCAUGUUCUCUCAAAUCAUCAAUGGCAGAUUUUGGUCUUCCAGUUGCAUGUCUUCACACUCCAGUGCUACACAUCUUCUCCUGUAAUUUUUUUCUCUACUUUUCAUAUUUUGCUCAACUCUUGAGCCAUUGUCUUGUCCACGAAAUUGCUGCCUGCUGCAAUAUUUGAAACUUAAACUGCCUUAGCCUUCACCCUUCAGGUCCUGUAAUAGUUAGAUUU
rnacentral:lncRNA from 1 species